AUUUAUGGCCAUACCACUCUGAGGCACCUAAUCUCUUCUGAUCUCAGAAGCUAAGCAGGGUAAGGCCCUGUGAGUACUUGGAUGGGAGAGAAUUGCUGGGUUAUAAACA
rnacentral:rRNA from 1 species